CCUACGGGAGGCAGCAGUGAGGAAUAUUGGUCAAUGGGCGCAAGCCUGAACCAGCCAAGUCGCGUGAGGGAUGACGGUCCUAUGGAUUGUAAACCUCUUUUGUCGGGGAGCAAGGCCCGCCACGUGUGGCGGGAAGGAGAGUACCCGAAGAAAAAGCAUCGGCUAACCCCGUGCCAGCAGCGGCGGUAAUACGGGGGAUGCGAGCUUUAUCGGGAUUUAUUGGGUUAAAGGGGUGCGUAGGCGGAAGGUUAAGUCAGCGGUCAAAUGUCGGUGCUCAACACCGGCCUGCCGUUGAAACUGGUCGUCUUGAGUGAGCGAGAAGUAUGCGGAAUGCGUGGUGUAGCGGUGAAAUGCAUAGAUAUCACGCAGAACUCCGAUUGCGAAGGCAGCAUACCGGCGCUCAACUGACGCUGAGGCACGAAAGCGUGGGGAUCGAACAGGAUUAGAUACCCUAGUAGUC
rnacentral:rRNA from 1 species